CCGGGGUGGGGUAGAACGGGUCCCUGGGGGUAGGACGUGUGCCUGGAGGAGGACGGGUCAUGGCUCCUGGUGGCACCACUCUGUUCUUUGCUGUGUCCCCAUGGUGUUCUCUCUGCUUCUGUCUUGCUUUCUCAUCAGGCAGUCAUUGGAUUCAGGUCCCCUGCCCCAGCAUGGUGUCACCUACUUGAUGACACCUGCAGCCUGCUUCCCGUGGGCCACAGUCACAGGUACUGGGGACUAGGACACAUCUCUUUGGGGGACACAAUCAACCACCAGAGGCAGCUCCCCUGUGACUAAGGGCGCCUGCUCAGGCCAUCAGGACACACUGCCUGGAGCACAGCAGGGGACACGAAGGGUUCUGAACGCAGUGGGUGGCACAGGAGGACAGAGACCUGAGGAGGUCUCAGUGAUGUGGGUGCCAGUCCCACUGCCGCCGUUUAGGGAGAAGGUGUGAUGCCGCACAGUCCUGAACCAGCUUCCUUCUGCUGCCGUCCGACUGACUUCCGCGCACAGGUGCAGCCCUGCCGCGGGGUGACCCCAUGGACCCGCCGCGUGACGCUGACGACCUGCCUUCACUUGGCUACUCCACGCGCAGGCCGCUGCGCUUCUCCAAUCCUUCCAGCUCAAAGCGACGGCUUCUGCAACCACGAUGCUGUUUGGAUUUGCUCCAGACCCCCGACGGUUUACUUUCUAAGUCUUGUGGGUGUUUGCAGUAGUGACCCAGCUUGGUUUCAAUGGAAUAAUACUUCAUCAAACUUCGUUUGCAGCUGUCAAUUUGCACUCUGCUGUACAAUUAUGUUUUUACGCACAUUGUUUUUUAACUGAAACAAGUUUUAAGACCAUUCCAGAUAAUGUGAAUACUCAGAGCAGCAUGACAUUCACUGGUGACAGCUGUUGUUCUCAGAAGCUGACUGGCUGUGCAGGACGGAUCGCGGCUUCCACUGCCUGUCGGAAGAGGGGGAGCGGUUCCAACAGUCCCGCGAGCCGUGCUCAGCCUGCACUGGGAAAGGCCGCAUCUCUGCUGACGCAGAGUUUGGAAGGAAAGCUCUCCUGUGUCAUGAUUCAGUGCGAGGCAUUGCAGUUAACGCAGGAGGGAAGGAGAGAAAAGUGACCCUUUGAGGGUUCCGGGAAUCGCCUGGGGUUUUCCCCGCGGUCACGAUCAGCACCAUGGACAGAAACACACCGGCCACUUGGAGCUGCGACGGCCCACAGCAGGGGUGUACGCUGAAGGGAUCUAAUCUGAUCAUGACACUUGGCUUGGUGACCUAUUGCCCGGACAACCAGCCCCACAGUCCAGUCUAUUCUGCAGGUAAA